rnacentral:RNase_P_RNA from 1 species
UCAGCAGGCCGGUUUGUCGCUUCGCCUCCGAUGUUCGUCGGUUGUGCGGAGAGGAAAGUCCGGGCAACGCAGAGCACCAUACUUCCUAACGGGAAGCUGUUCGUGAGGGCAGAGUAACGUAACAGAAAACAACCGCUUCGCUUCGGCGGAGUAAGGGUGAAAAGGUGAGGUAAGAGCUCACCGGAUGCGACAGCAAUGCCGCGUGCCGUACGUCUUAUGGGUUGCAAGGCCAUGUAUACCGGAUACGUAGGGUUGCUCGCCCGAUGCCGGGGGGUAGGCUGCUAAAGAGCGAUGGCGACAUCGUCUCGCAGAUAAAUGACAGACAUUCCGUUUGCGGAAUACAGAACCCGGCUUACAGGCCUGCUGUUUUU